CAAACUACAUGUCAGCAGCUACAUGACCACAGCAUUCCAGUGUUGAAUACAACUGAGCAAAAGUAUUCAAAUUUCCAAACUAAUUUUCAAAAUGUUUCAACACUGUGAUCACUGCCACAAAGGAUAAUCCCCAGCUGUCAAGUUAAGGAAAUUUAAAAGGAAUACAGUGGACACUUCAAGACCAAAUGAUGAACUUUUAGAAUACAACUGUAAAAAUCAGUUGCCUGAUUGCAAACCAAGAAGUUUGCCGUUUCUGUUAUAUAAAACUAAAAGUCAGUUUUUGUGAGUCCAAUGAUGAUGAUUAACAGG
rnacentral:lncRNA from 1 species